GUAAUUUCUACAACAGAUUGCCAAGGAAAGAGCUAUCUCAACAACACAAGUCUCUCCUGUCAUAAAGAGCUACCACGAGUACAGCAUCCUGUACAGAAAGUUAUCGGUGGUCAGCUAUCCAGCGCUGAACAGCAUAUUGACCAGCGACUACUAACACUCAGUCUAGAACCAGACAUUGAGCUCAGGGGAAAGGUUGGUUGCAGGAACAUGAAGCGUCUCAUGCUGUACAUGAGUGACAGUCUACCAAUGUACACUCUGGACUGGCCCUGGGUAGACUACAACAAGUUCAUUGUACCCGCCAUGAGUAGAGUAUCAUUUCUCAAUCGUACGCUAACUCACGACCAAAAAUGUCACGUAUAUAUUCUUCAGAAUACUACAAGUUCAUGGACCCCCUGGAGAGAUUGGUGUCGACUUAUAGAUGGGUUAUGACAAGCUGUUCCCAGACAAAAUAAAGAUGGCUAUUUUAGAAAGGUACGGCACUAAUGAGCUCCGAGUGUGGAGGCGUGUCAUUACAGUACGUGACUACAACAUCUCCGUAACUUUCCCAGAGUUUUGUCGCUAUGUAACUGAAACCAAAUCCUCUGAAAUGAACGAACAUUUCCUACCCUCAAAAUGGAUAUUUGUCAUCCUUGUCUAAUUGCUAUGCAGAAAUUAUUCUCAAGAUUCCGCUCAACUUAUAAAGAAAUUUAAGGCCGACCCGAAGUUUUAUCGUGAUGAAUUCGCUACACGGACCUCACGAGAGGACCAGCCAGAAACUGUUACAAUAUUACCGGCAGCUCACUAUUAGAGAGAAGGUGAAGCUAUACUCGGCCGACUGUAUGAUGAGCUAUUAUUUUAUUACACCGUCUAUCCUAGUGAGAGGAACUCACACCAACUAAUACUAGGCUUUGACUGGACUCCUCCAAUAAUAUAGUAGCUGCAUGUGCAUAUCUUAUUUCACACAAAAGAACCACAGUAGGUGUACCUACCUCGAUCCAAUUAGAUGCGAAUAAUUUUUCACCUCCAAAAAAAAGCAACCUAGCUCUGGCAGAGGUCUUAAAAGUGUCACUUUAAAUUGAGGUCUUAUGGUAACUGUAUUUAGACCAAGCACGACCAAACACAGUAUAUAUUACUCUUGUCUGCCUUAUAAAUGUGUUUGGAACGUCAGUGUUUUUAGAUCCGUGAUUUAUUUCAGGCCCAAAUUGUCCAUAGCGUGGGCUAUAAUAAUUAUUAUAAUUAUUAUAAAUGGGUGCAUGUACUUUUCAGAGUUUUAUAGCUAAAUUUGAGGUUGUACUACGAACAUCCGAUUUCAAAGAGUUGGGAUACCGUCCCUCGCAAGGUAAAGGAAGCAUGCACCUGGUCAAUAUUUAGUCAAUACCUUUUGAAAAUUGAUAAUUUACUUAUUUCUAUACACAUUACACCCUCCUCCUACAUUGUUUGCAUGGUAACCUCUCUCUCUCUUUCUCUCUCUCUCAGGUGAACUAAAGAGAAGUCGCAGUUAACAAGAUAGCCAGCUGCUGGGAUGUCACGAGGGAACGAGAAAUCAGUUCUCUAAAGUCCAUAGUCUUGAACAUUUGAAACCAUCAACUAUUAGUCUUGUAACAGUUGUGUAUCACAUGCACCCUCUCUUGCUAAAUAUUAUUUAGCAGCAAUGUUAUUGAAAAUAAACUU